rnacentral:rRNA from 1 species
GCGGCGUGCCUAAUACAUGCAAGUAGAACGCUGAAGAGAGGAGCUUGCUCUUCUUGGAUGAGUUGCGAACGGGUGAGUAACGCGUAGGUAACCUGCCUUGUAGCGGGGGAUAACUAUUGGAAACGAUAGCUAAUACCGCAUAACAAUGGAUGACACAUGUCAUUUAUUUGAAAGGGGCAAAUGCUCCACUACAAGAUGGACCUGCGUUGUAUUAGCUAGUAGGUGAGGUAACGGCUCACCUAGGCGACGAUACAUAGCCGACCUGAGAGGGUGAUCGGCCACACUGGGACUGAGACACGGCCCAGACUCCUACGGGAGGCAGCAGUAGGGAAUCUUCGGCAAUGGGGGCAACCCUGACCGAGCAACGCCGCGUGAGUGAAGAAGGUUUUCGGAUCGUAAAGCUCUGUUGUAAGUCAAGAACGAGUGUGAGAGUGGAAAGUUCACACUGUGACGGUAGCUUACCAGAAAGGGACGGCUAACUACGUGCCAGCAGCCGCGGUAAUACGUAGGUCCCGAGCGUUGUCCGGAUUUAUUGGGCGUAAAGCGAGCGCAGGCGGUUUGAUAAGUCUGAAGUUAAAGGCUGUGGCUCAACCAUAGUUCGCUUUGGAAACUGUCAAACUUGAGUGCAGAAGGGGAGAGUGGAAUUCCAUGUGUAGCGGUGAAAUGCGUAGAUAUAUGGAGGAACACCGGUGGCGAAAGCGGCUCUCUGGUCUGUAACUGACGCUGAGGCUCGAAAGCGUGGGGAGCGAACAGGAUUAGAUACCCUGGUAGUCCACGCCGUAAACGAUGAGUGCUAGGUGUUGGAUCCUUUCCGGGAUUCAGUGCCGCAGCUAACGCAUUAAGCACUCCGCCUGGGGAGUACGACCGCAAGGUUGAAACUCAAAGGAAUUGACGGGGGCCCGCACAAGCGGUGGAGCAUGUGGUUUAAUUCGAAGCAACGCGAAGAACCUUACCAGGUCUUGACAUCCCGAUGCUAUUUCUAGAGAUAGAAAGUUACUUCGGUACAUCGGUGACAGGUGGUGCAUGGUUGUCGUCAGCUCGUGUCGUGAGAUGUUGGGUUAAGUCCCGCAGCGAGCGCAACCCCUAUUGUUAGUUGCCAUCAUUCAGUUGGGCACUCUAGCGAGACUGCCGGUAAUAAACCGGAGGAAGGUGGGGAUGACGUCAAAUCAUCAUGCCCCUUAUGACCUGGGCUACACACGUGCUACAAUGGUUGGUACAACGAGUUGCGAGUCGGUGACGGCAAGCUAAUCUCUUAAAGCCAAUCUCAGUUCGGAUUGUAGGCUGCAACUCGCCUACAUGAAGUCGGAAUCGCUAGUAAUCGCGGAUCAGCACGCCGCGGUGAAUACGUUCCCGGGCCUUGUACACACCGCCCGUCACACCACGAGAGUUUGUAACACCCGAAGUCGGUGAGGUAACCUUUUGGAGCCAGCCGCCUAAGGUGGGAUAGAUGAUUGGGGUGAAG